rnacentral:rRNA from 1 species
AUUGAACGCUGGCGGCAGGCCUAACACAUGUAAGUCGAGCGGUAGAGAGAAGCUUGCUUCUCUUGAGAGCGGCGGACGGGUGAGUAAUGCCUAGGAAUCUGCCUGGUAGUGGGGGAUAACGUUCGGAAACGGACGCUAAUACCGCAUACGUCCUACGGGAGAAAGCAGGGGACCUUCGGGCCUUGCGCUAUCAGAUGAGCCUAGGUCGGAUUAGCUAGUUGGUGAGGUAAUGGCUCACCAAGGCGACGAUCCGUAACUGGUCUGAGAGGAUGAUCAGUCACACUGGAACUGAGACACGGUCCAGACUCCUACGGGAGGCAGCAGUGGGGAAUAUUGGACAAUGGGCGAAAGCCUGAUCCAGCCAUGCCGCGUGUGUGAAGAAGGUCUUCGGAUUGUAAAGCACUUUAAGUUGGGAGGAAGGGCAUUAACCUAAUACGUUAGUGUUUUGACGUUACCGACAGAAUAAGCACCGGCUAACUCUGUGC